rnacentral:rRNA from 1 species
AACAAACGCUGGCGGCGUGCCUAAUACAUGCAAGUCGAACGAGGAAGUAUCUUCGGAUAUUGUACUAGUGGCGUACGGGUGAGUAACGCGUGGAUAAUCUUCCUCUAAGUGGGGAAUAACCAGUCGAAGAUUGGCUAAUACCGCAUAAGACCACAAGCUGUUCGCAGCAAGGGGUUAAAGGGACGAAAGACCGCUUGGAGAUGAGUCUGCGCCUGAUUAGCUAGUUGGUGAGGUAACGGCUCACCAAGGCGACGAUCAGUAGCUGGUCUGAGAGGACGGCCAGCCACACU